rnacentral:lncRNA from 1 species
GUCCGGCAAGGCCCCUUUUUGGCCCAAAAAUAUAACAGUUUUACAAAAUUGUUAAAAUGUAAACUUUUAGUUAUUUAUUGGACAGUUGAAUGCUUCUGCUACAUAAACAUGGGCUGUUUUUGACAAUACAAUGCACAUAUAUAGGGUUGUAGCACCAUUAAGUCAUGCUAAAUUACUGAAAUCUUCAAAAUUCUAUCAUUUUAGUUAAAUUUUAGACGGUUUCCGUGUGAAACGAAAGUGGCCGCAUUCGUGUUCAUCCUUAAUAUUGCAAUGUAAGUUGUAUUUUAUGAUAAUACAUAACAUAUAUAAAGGUUGUGGAUGAACACGGAUGCGGCCACUUUCAUUUUUGACAAAAAUCAUCUGAAAAGUGACGUUUUUUUGGCAUAUUUGAGAGAUUUUUCAUAU